rnacentral:lncRNA from 1 species
UGCAUUUUGGCGUGAGGCAGAGCAAGGUUCUGCCUUGCUGAUGAACCCAGCUUCGGCCGCCGAAGAAUGGUUCGGCCGCCGAAUGUGCUGAGGAGGUGGCUUCGGUUGCCUAAGCUUGCCCCCGAGCCUUUGGACUUUCGGCUCUGGAGGGGAGUUUCGGCCGCCGAAGGUGCCGCCGAAGGUUAGAGACUUUCAUCUCUGGAGUGCCUUUCAGCCCCCGAAACUUGCCCCCGAAAGGGUUCGGCUGCCGAAAGUUGAGAUUCGGCCGCCGAAGGUGCAUGAGUUUCGGCUCUGGAGAGGACUUUCGGCCGCCGAACCUGCCGCCGAAAGUGUUCUGUCCAGCCUUCCUUUGCAUGCUUUGCAUGGAUGUUUGCGUGAGUUUAAGGGGAUUCUUGGAGAGUUUAAUAGAGUUGGUCUUGAGUUAGUUUGGUCCCUCAUUUGAGUUUAUCUGUGCCUACACCGACCAGAGGAACCAGAGAGAGCAGCAGUGAGUACUGCUCCAGAGUUUACAGAGCCUGCAGAGUCAGUCCAGAGAGCCAGAGGUGAGUGGAACUAAACUUAAUCUUUGAAUUGAGAAAUGAAAUGCUUUUAGCAUCAUUCAUGCAUCAUGACUAUGCAGUAGGUUAUUUGCAUUAGAAUCCAUGAAUAUGUUGCAUUGCAUAGUUAUUUAUUGAUGUGGGUGAAUGCUGAAUGAUCCAAUAGUUCCAGACAGGAAGUCCAGGACCCCAUUCUACGGCCUGGCAAGUAUAGAAAAGUCCAGGACCCCAUUCUAUGGCCUGGCAGGUAUAGUAAAGACCAGGUGCCCAGUCUACGCCCUGGAAAAUGGUAAGUACAGGUGUUAUAUACACAUAUACAUAUACAGUACAGGAAGACCAGGACCCCAGUCUACGGCCUGGCACGGAACAGUUAUUGGGACUAUGUGGUGACAGGUUUACCCUUGAUGUGAAUUGUCUGUGAUAUGAUGCAUUCCAUAAGAGCAUGUUUUAAUGACCUAUUUUACUGUUCUACUCACUGGGCUAUAGAGCUCAUCCCACUCCCUUAACCCUAGUCUUGCAGGUUUAGUGUACAGUGUACAGGGGCAGUCCAGCAAAGUACAGGAAGAGAGAAGAAGAUUGUCAUAGAUUCUUGUGGACAUGUAAUAGUAAAGAGAUGUAACAGUUGUGUAUAAAGUUAGAAUUGUGCUUGACUUAGUUAUGUUUGUGUUGUACACCUUUUGUAUAUAUGGUCUAUUUAUUUAACUGUUUUACAGAGUAUGUGAAAAACCAGGCUUAACGGGUAUGAAUUAACCCAUCUAGAGCAAGCUCUAGUCAGGGGUACAGAGUACAGAGAUAGUGCAUGCACAGGUUAAGUCUUGGUUCAGAGAAAAGUUUUAGUUUCACAAAAAAUGUAUGACCAUGUAUGAGAUUUUACAGGUACACAGAGAGUAUAGCAGGCUUGCUACGGGUUCUGGCGGCCUUAAGCCGAUCUGAAUCCUAGCGCCGGUGACGGUCCAUUUUGGGGUCGUUACAGAUUGGUAUCAGAGCCCUAGGUUCAUAUGAUCGGACCUAUAGAGCGAGUGUCGGGCUCAUAGAGGUUAGAGGAAGUCAAGCACACUAGGAAAUCAUGUCCAUUAGGAUAGGAUGUUGAGUCCUGUCUAUUUGAUGCUAUGAAAUGCCAUGAUUUGUGCAUGUUUCGUAUAGAUAUGUGAUGUUUAUAUGCUGAUGUGCUAUGUUAUGUGUUGUUUUCCAGAGUUAAAAUGCGAGGAACUCGUCGAUCAGCUCGAUUGACUGGAGUCCCACCAGAGAGUGAGAGAAUAGCUGCUCGUUCUCCUGCAUUGCCAAGGGCAAGGUCUUAGAGAUCUAGUAGGGAAUGUACGUCAAUAGACCCUAGAAAGUCUGUAGACGAGAGCAGAAGAGGUACAGUUAGAGGUGGAAGAUCAGAGGAAUUGAGGGAGGCUAUGGAGAUUGAUCAGUCUAUAGAUGAAAGCAUGGGUGUAGGCAGAUCUGAAGAAGGUAUGGGAGAGUCACAGGGAGGCGCUCAGGCCUCAGGUUUUAACUAUCCAUCCUUUCCUCAGGACCCAGGGUAUCCGAUGGGAGGUAUGUCGGAGUACUCUAGUUUUGUCCCAUAUCCUACUUACAUGCCAUAUAUGCCUUAUCCUCAUUACUACUCACCAUAUCCUAUGUAUCCACCUUCCCCUACCCAUCCAAGUGCAGCACACCCAGAGCUAAAUGAACCAGUACCUCCACCACCACAACCAGAAUCAGUAGCCCCUGUUGUUGAAAGACAUCAACCUAGCUCAUCUGGAGGUAAGGUGCAAAUGACAGAGUACUUGAAAUUGGAUGCUCCUAAAUUCAAUCCGGGAGAUGAUCCAUUUGAAUACCUCAGAUCAGUUAGGAUAAUAACCAGUGAAUUGGGAGCUGAUGAUAGUAGAGCCAUUGAGAUGGCGGGGUUCACACUGAAAUGUAAGAAAGCUAGAGAAUGGUUCAAGAACUAUAUAGAGCCCAAGAUUGACAGUAUGUCGUGGGGAGAGUUCGCCAAUGAGUUUGCAGGGUGGGCUUUUCCUGAUAGCUCUAGGGAGAUGAAAGUCAUAGAAUUUGAGCAGUUGAGACAGACAGAUGAGAUGAGUGUUGAAGAGUUUACAGAUAAGUUCUUGGAUUUGCUUCAGUAUGUGGGUCAAGCCUAUGAUACUGAUCAGAAGAAGGCAAGGAGAUAUACUAUGCGAUUGCAUCCCAGGUAUUCUUCCUUGAUUCUUCCAGCAGAAAAGGAGAGUUUCCACUCUAUAGUGGAUGCCGCCAGGAAAAUGGAAGCAAGUGCCAAUAGUCAGAGACAGUCAAGGGCACAGGCCUCGGGUUCUAAGGCCCCCAUUGCAGUAACGUCAGGUAGCAAAAGAUGGGAAAAGGCAAAAGGAACAAAGAGUAAGUUCUGGAAUAAAGUCAAGUCUGGUCUGGGAAUAGGUAGUGGCGCAAGCUCUGGCGCAAGCAGUUCAGUAUGUAGAAGAUGUGGGAGACCACACAAGGGAGCUUGUCAGUUGGGAUCUUCAGCCUGUUAUAGGUGUGGACAGGAAUGGCAUUUUGCUCGGGAUUGUCCUCAGGUGACUUUUGCACCAUCCCAGCAGAUGAGUUCAAGCAGUGUAGUACAGCCAGCAGCUCCAGCCGUACCGCAGAGUAGUGGCAGAGGUAGAGGGAGAGGGGCAGCCUCUACUUCAGUAGCAGGUUCCCGAGGUGGAAAUCCGGUAGCCCCAGCACGGAUUUUCACUGUGACACAGGAGGAGGCUAACACGUCGAACACAGUGGUGUCAGGUAAUCUCAUCAUAGGGUGUUCAGAUGUGUAUGCUUUGAUGGACCCGGUGCUUCUCAUUCCUUUGUUGCUUCGAGAGCCAUAGAGAGGUUGGGUUUGAUGAGUUCUGAGUUAGAGUAUCCUCUCUGGGUCAGUGGACCCAAGUGUCACCCAUCAGUGGCAGCGUCAGUCUGUCGUUUCAGUCUAGUGUUCAUAGAGGGUAGAUACCUUCCAGCUGACCUUAUGGUUCUAGAUUUGACAGACUUUGAUGUCAUUCUAGGGAUGGAUUGGUUAUCUGCAUAUAAUGCGACCUUGGACUGUAGAGAGAAGGUAGUGAGUCUCAGAGACCAGGAUGGGUCAGAGUGUGUCUUCAGAGGAGACAGGAGAGGUACACCCAGAGGUUUGAUUUCAGCCCUUCAGGCUUGUCGUUUGCUUAGGAGGGGUUGUCAGGGGUUUCUAGCUCAUGUGAGAGAGCUAGAUAGACAGGUUAGGGAACCAGCCGCAGUACCAGUAGUCCGAGAGUUUCCAGAUGUGUUCCUAGAUGACUUACCAGGACUACCACCUGAUAGGGAGAUAGAGUUUGCAAUUGAAUUGCUGCCUGAUACCAGACCUAUCUUUAUGCCUCCCUACAGGAUGGCACCAGCAGAGUUAAAGGAGUUGAAAGAACAGUUGCAGGAUUUGGUAGAUAAGGGUUUCAUCCGCCCUAGUACCUCACCUUGAGGUGCUCCAGUGCUCUUUGUCAGAAAGAAGGAUGGAUCCCUCAGACUUUGUAUCGACUACAGACAGUUGAACAAGGUCACUACCAAGAAUAGGUAUCCUUUACCUUGGAUUGAUGAUCUAUUUGACCAGCUAGCUGGAGCAGGUUGUUUCUCUAAAAUAGAUCUGAGAUCCGGGUAUCAUCAGUUGAGAGUCAGAGAGGUAGAUGUACCAAAGACAGCCUUCAGAACCAGAUAUGGGCAUUAUGAGUUCUUAGUGAUGCCGUUUGGGUUGACUAACGCCCCUGCAGCAUUCAUGGAUCUCAUGAACAGAGUUUUCAGCGAGUAUCUGGAUCACUUUGUUAUUGUUUUUAUCGAUGAUAUCUUAGUGUAUUCCAGAGAUGCAAAGGAGCAUGCCCAGCAUCUGAGACUAGUUCUACAGACACUGAGAGAGCAUGGUUUGUAUGCCAAGUUCUCUAAGUGUGAGUUUUGGUUGCAGAGCAUUUCCUUCUUGGGACACGUGGUAUCAGCAGAAGGGAUUGAAGUAGACCCCAAGAAGAUAGAGGCUGUAGCUAACUGGCCCAGACCCACUACAGUGACUGAGAUUAAAAGCUUCUUGGGACUGGCAAGUUACUACAGGAGGUUCGUUUAGGACUUCUCGAAGAUAGCUGCUCCUAUGACCAAACUGACUCAGAAGAACCAGAAGUUUGUCUGGUCAGACCAGUGUGAAGAGAGCUUUGAGGAGCUCAAAAGGAAAUUGACAUCAGCACCAGUGCUAGCUCUGCCUGUUAGUAACGAGGAUUUCACAGUGUUCUGUGAUGCGUCUCGAGUGGGAUUGGGUUGUGUUUUGAUGCAGAGUGAUAGGGUGAUUGCUUAUGCUUCUAGACAGUUGAAGAAGCACGAGUUGAAUUACCCCACCCAUGACCUAGAGAUGGCAGCAGUUAUCUUUGCAUUCAAGAUGUGGAGGCAUUACCUCUAUGGGGUUAAAUGCGAGAUCUUCACUGAUCACAAGAGUUUACAGUACAUCUUGAGCUAGAGAGAGCUGAAUUUGAGGCAGAGAAAAUGGGUAGAAUUGCUCAGUGAUUAUGAUUGUAAGAUCCAGUAUCAUCCGGGUAAGGCGAAUGUAGUGGCAGACGCCCUAAGCCGGAAGUCACUAGGCAGUUUAUCCCAGAUAGCAGCAGAGCGGAGACCAGUAGUGAUGGAGCUUUAUAAGCUCAUUGAGGACGGGUUACAGCUAGAGUUGUUUGGUACGGGUGCAUUGGUAGCACAGAUGAGAGUGACACCUGUGUUUUUGGAGCAGAUAGCGCAGAAACAGCAUGAGGACCCUGAAUUGAUGAAAAUUGCCAGGACUGUUCAGUCAGGCAACAGUGCAGAGUUCAGAUUUGACAGCAAAGGGAUCCUUCGCUAUGGGAGUCGACUUUGUGUACCAGCUAGUAGUAGUCUGAAGGAAGACAUUAUGAGAGAAGCUCAUAAUGCGCGGUAUAGUGUUCACCCAAGAGCCACCAAGAUGUAUCAGGAUCUGAAAAGGGUAUAUUGGUGGCCAGCCAUGAAGAAAGAAGUGGCGCAGUUCCUGACAGCCUGUGAGGUUUGUCAGAGGGUGAAACUGGAACAUCAGAAGUCAGCUGGAAUGCUUAACCCACUGCCGAUUCCAGAAUGGAAAUGGGAGAACAUAGCUAUGGAUUUUUUAGUGGGCUUACCGGCAGCAUCUAACAGGAUAGACUCCAUAUGGGUGAUUGUGGACAGACUCACGAAAUCUGCUCAUUUCAUUCCAGUCAGGAGUAACUAUUCUGUAGAUAAACUGGCACAGGUAUAUCUAGAUGAGAUAGUGCGAUUACAUGGAGUUCCAGUGUCUAUAGUUUCAAACAGAGGACCUCAGUUCACCUCCAGAUUUUGGCGAAGUCUGUAGAGUGCGAUGGGCACGAGGUUGGAUUUUAGCACUGCUUUCCAUCCGCAGACUGAUGGACAGUCAGAGAGGACCAUCCAGACCAUUGAGGAUAUGCUCAGAAUGUGUGUGUUAGACUUUGGCGGUUCUUGGAGGCAGCAUCUACCUCUGGUGGAGUUUGCCUACAAUAACAGCCAUCAUGCUAGCAUUGGGAUGGCUUCUUAUGAAGCGUUGUAUGGGAGGAAGUGCAGAUCACCUGUUUGCUAGGAAGAGGUAGGAGAGAAAGCUCUUGCAGGGCCAGAGUUAGUAGAGAUUACCAGUAGAGUGGUACCUAUGAUCAGAGAGAGGAUCAGAACAGCUCAGAGCAGGCAGAAAAGCUAUGCAGAUGUACGCAGAAAGCAGAUAGAGUUUCAGGAGGGUAAUAUGGUAUUGCUGAAGGUGUCUCCAAUGAAAGGAGUGGUUUGGUUUGGCAGAAAAGGUAAGUUAGCUCCACGAUACAUUGGACCCUUUGAGAUCUUACAGAGGAUCGGGAAUGUGUCGUAUAAGCUGGAUUUACCUACGUCUAUGGAUAGAAUUCACCCGGUAUUUCAUGUUUCUAUGCUACGACAGUUUGUGUCAGAUCCGAGUCAGGUUCUGAGUGAGCCUGAUGUGGAGAUUCUUAGAGAUCUCACCUAUGUAUAGCAGCCAGUACAGAUUCUAGACACGCAGAUCAGGCAGCUAAGGAACAAGGAAAUUCCGAUGGUGAAAGUUCUAUGGAACCACCAUAAUCUCCAAGAGUGUACUUGGGAGACGCGGGAGUCUAUGCUCCAGCAGUAUCCAUAUCUGUUUUGAGGUUCGUUUCCUCCUUUUUAUGUGUUUCUUUGUUUAUUUGUGUAGGAACAUUCGAGGACGAAUGUUCUUAAGGGGGGGAGAAUGUAAUACCCGGCUAGAGUCCGGCAUCGGAAUUCCUGUCGUCCGGUGGAAUCCAGAAUGUCGGAAUCUUUAGAAGGGUAAGAUUGAUGGUUUUCUAAAGUAAUAUAGUAUGUUUUUAUGUUUUAAAGUUGAAAUGAAAAGAGGUUUUGAAAGAAAAGAACCAAGGCAGAAAAGCCAGGUUCGGCCACCGAAGUUGAGGUUCGGCUGCCGAACCUGCAUGGCUUUCGGUUUCACGAUAGGCCGCCGAAGGUGGUCUGGCCAGCCACCUAUAAAAGGCCCUCAGUCGGUUGAAAGGAUAACUAUUGCCGUUUUCUUUCACUUUCUGAGGUGAGACCCUGUUCUUUUUAAGUUUUCUUCAUGUUUUCAUCAAAUCAUGCAAAGAGUUGAUUGAUUUUUAUGUUCUUUUGAAGGUUUUGAGCUAAAAACUUGAGAUUUUAAAGUUGGGAGAGUUGGAAGGAGAGUUGCUCCAAAACUCCACGUUAGGAUCGUUCAUCUUCUUGGUUUCAAGAGGUAAGUGAAGAUCCUGAACUUGUUUUCCUGAUUUAUGGCAGAUUUUGGAGGUUUUGGGGGAGAGUUGCAUGAAUAGGGUUAAAAGAGCAGUUUUGUUGAUUUUGUGAGAAAAGUUUGUGUCUGUGGUAUGCUUUGCUGUUUGUUGGGGUUUUUUAGGUAGUUUCUGACCCCUUUGAGCAUAUACUUGGGUGUAUGCAUGUUGAGGAAUUAAGGUGGUUGAGUUUGAGAAGCUUUGGUGCAUUUUGGCGUGAGGCAGAGCAAGGUUCUGCCGUGCUGAUGAACCCAGCUUCGGCCGCCGAAGAAUGGUUCGGCCGCCGAAUGUGCUGAGGAGGUGGCUUCAGUUGCCUAAGCUUGCCCCCGAGCCUUUGGACUUUCGGCUCUGGAGGGGAGUUUCGGCCGCCGAAGGUGCCGCUGAAGGUUAGAGACUUUCGUCUCUGGAGUGCCUUUCAGCCCCCGAAACUUGCUCCCGAAAGGGUUCGGCUGCCAAAAGUUG